GACGAACGCUGGCGGCGUGCCUAACACAUGCAAGUCGAACGGAACUGUUUUGAAAGAUUUCUUCGGAAUGAAUUUGAUUUAGUUUAGUGGCGGACGGGUGAGUAACGCGUGAGUAACCUGCCUUCAAGAGGGGAAUAACAUUCUGAAAAGAAUGCUAAUACCGCAUGACAUAUCGGAACCACAUGGUUUUGAUAUCAAAGAUUUUAUCGCUUGAAGAUGGACUCGCGUCCGAUGAGUUAGUUGGUGAGGUAACGGCUCACCAAGACCGCGAUCGGUAGCCGGACUGAGAGGUUGAACGGCCACAUUGGGACUGAGACACGGCCCAGACUCCUACGGGAGGCAGCAGUGGGGGAUAUUGCGCAAUGGGGGCAACCCUGACGCAGCAACGCCGCGUGAAGGAUGAAGGUUUUCGGAUUGUAAACUUCUUUUAUUAAGGACGAAAAAUGACGGUACUUAAUGAAUAAGCUCCGGCUAACUACGUG
rnacentral:rRNA from 1 species